AGAGUUUGAUCCUGGCUCAGAAUCAACGCUGGCGGCGCGCCUAACACAUGCAAGUCGAACGAGAAAGUGGAGCAAUCCAUGAGUACAGUGGCGUACGGGUGAGUAACACGUGGGUAAUCUACCUUUUAGUGAGGAAUAACCGAGGGAAACUUUGGCUAAUACCGCAUAAGCCUGAGAAGGGAAAGCAGAAAUGCGCUGAAAGAGGAGCCCGCGGCCGAUUAGCUAGUUGGUGGGGUAAGAGCCCACCAAGGCAGAGAUCGGUAGCCGGCCUGAGAGGGCACACGGCCACACUGGCACUGAAACACGGGCCAGACUCCUACGGGAGGCAGCAGUGGGGAAUCUUGCACAAUGGGGGGAACCCUGAUGCAGCGACGCCGCGUGAGCGAUGAAGCCCUUCGGGGUGUAAAGCUCUUUCGUCAGGGAAGAUAGUGACGGUACCUGGAGAAGCAGCUGCGGCUAACUACGUGCCAGCAGCCGCGGUAAUACGUAGGCAGCAAGCGUUGUUCGGAGUUACUGGGCGUAAAGGGUGUGUAGGCGGUUCUUUAAGUUUGCUGUGAAAUCUCCCGGCUUAACCGGGAGGGUGCGGUGAAUACUGAGGGACUAGAGUACGGGAGAGGAAAGUGGAAUUCCUGGUGUAGCGGUGAAAUGCGUAGAUAUCAGGAGGAACACCGGUGGUGUAGACGGCUUUCUGGACCGUAACUGACGCUGAGACACGAAAGCGUGGGUAGCAAACAGGAUUAGAUACCCUAGUAGUCC
rnacentral:rRNA from 1 species